rnacentral:rRNA from 1 species
UUUGUAACCUACCUCUGACUGGAGCAUAGCCCGAAGAAAUUCGGAUUAAUACUCCAUAAUACUGCGAGAAGGCAUCUUUUUUCAGUUAAAGCUUCGGCGGUCAGAGAUGGGCAUGCGUAACAUUAGCUGGUUGGUGAGGUAACAGCUCACCAAGGCUACGAUGUUUAGGGGGUCUGAGAGGAUGGUCCCCCACACUGGUACUGAGACACGGACCAGACUCCUACGGGAGGCAGCAGUGAGGAAUAUUGGUCAAUGGGCGAAAGCCUGAACCAGCCAUGCCGCGUGAAGGAUGACGGCCCUAUGGGUUGUAAACUUCUUUUAUACGGGAAGAAACCCCUCUACGUGUAGGGGGCUGACGGUACCGUACGAAUAAGCAUCGGCUAACUCCGUGCCAGCAGCCGCGGUAAUACGGAGGAUGCAAGCGUUAUCCGGAUUUAUUGGGUUUAAAGGGUGCGUAGGCGGAAAAUUAAGUCAGUGGUGAAAUCCUGCAGCUUAACUGUAGAAUUGUCAUUGAUACUGGUUUUCUUGAAUACAGUUGAGGUAGGCGGAAUGAGUAAUGUAGCGGUGAAAUGCUUAGAUAUUACUCAGAACACCAAUUGCGAAGGCAGCUUACUAAACUGUGAUUGACGCUGAGGCACGAAAGCGUGGGGAGCGAACAGGAUUAGAUACCCUGGUAGUCCACGCCGUAAACGAUGAUCACUCGUUGUUGGCAAUACACCGUCAGCGAUUGAGCGAAAGUAUUAAGUGAUCCACCUGGGGAGUAGGAUUGCAAGUUUGAAACUCAAAGGAUUUGACGGGGGCCGGCACAAGCGGAGGAACAUGUGGUUUAAUUCGAUGAUACGCGAGGAACCUUACGUGGGCUUAAAUGCAUAACGACGGAUCGGGAAACUGGUCUUUCUUCGGACUGAAUGCAUGGUGGUGCAUGGCUGUAGUCAGCUCGUGCCGUGAGGUGUCGGGUUAAGUCCCAUAACGAGCGCAACCCUCAUCAUUAGUUGCCAGCGGGUAAUUCCGGGGACUCUAAUGAAACUGCCGGUGUAAACCGAGAGGAAGGCGAGGAUGACGUCAAGUCAGCACGGCCCUUAUGUCCAGGGCUACACACCUGUUACAAUGGUCAGUUCAAAGGGCAGCUACCAGGCAACUGGAUGCUAAUCUCAAAAGCUGGUC